CCCUGGCUGGCGGGUGGGCUACUUGGUACAGCUUGCGUUCCUAAUCAAACGGACACUUCGAGCUUCGUGGUUUGGUUGCCCCUGGAUAUUCUGGGGAUCCCUAAGGUGCUUCGGGAAGAGCAGAUAUUCCUGGACGCUCAUCGGUGAACACGCGGCUUGAAUGGUGCCAGCGCCGGGAUCGCACCGGCGUGGAAAAGUAAGGAAGUCCCAGCAGGCCUCCCCUCUUGAAAGCCACCCGGGGAGAGGCGGGUAGGGGAGUAGGGGGCAAGUGCGCGCGCAAACUGGCGAAUGGGCGGAGUUAGAUUGUCUUCUCCAGCCCGUCUGUCAGUCACGAGCUUCAGCUCCGCCCACACAGCGGUAAUUGGUGAGGAGCGCGCGCGAGCGCCCGCGGCCCGCCCCCUUCAGCACUGCCCCCGCCCACCGGUUGACAGGGCUGCAAGUGGGGCCUGCAAGUUGGAGCAAGAAGGUGCGUGCGGGUGCCGAAAUGCUCAGACCCUCCGAAGCUGAUGGGCACCUGCUCACACCCAGCUUUGGCUGUCACCCCAGACCUGACAGCAGCCCGAUGCUCAUGUACUCGAGUCCUGGCCCAGCUCUGCUCCUACAGGCCCCUUUCCACUCCAUCAGCCACCUACAGCCUCUUUUC
ensembl:lincRNA Gm16295 predicted gene 16295